GAUGAACGCUGGCGGCGUGCCUAAUACAUGCAAGUCGAGCGAACAGGCGAGGAGCUUGCUCCUUUGACGUUAGCGGCGGACGGGUGAGUAACACGUGGGUAACCUACCUAUAAGACUGGGAUAACUUCGGGAAACCGGAGCUAAUACCGGAUAAUAUUUCGAACCGCAUGGUUCGAUAGUGAAAGAUGGCUCUGCUAUCACUUAUAGAUGGACCUGCGCCGUAUUAGCUAGUUGGUAAGGUAACGGCUUACCAAGGCAACGAUACGUAGCCGACCUGAGAGGGUGAUCGGCCACACUGGAACUGAGACACGGUCCAGACUCCUACGGGAGGCAGCAGUAGGGAAUCUUCCGCAAUGGGCGAAAGCCUGACGGAGCAACGCCGCGUGAGCGAUGAAGGUCUUCGGAUCGUAAAACUCUGUUAUUAGGGAAGAACAAACGUGUAAGUAACUGUGCACGUCUUGACGGUACCUAAUCAGAAAGCCACGGCUAACUACGUG
rnacentral:rRNA from 1 species